rnacentral:rRNA from 1 species
CGCCUGUUUAUCAAAAACAUCUUUUCUUGUUAGUUUCUGAAGUAUGGCCUGCCCGCUGACGUAUAUUUGAGUUGAAGGGCCGCGGUAUUUUGACCGUGCAAAGGUAGCAUAGUCAUUAGUUCUUUAAUUGUGAUCUGGUAUGAAUGGCUUGACGAGACAUGAGCUGUCUUAAGGUGUGGAAUUUGUUGUUGAAUUUUGAGUUUGAGUUAAAAUUCUUAGAUGUUUUUAUGGGACGAGAAGACCCUAUAGAGUUUGACAUUUGAUUGCGUAUUUCUUGUUGUUUGUUUUAAAUUUUUGCGUGUCUCUUGUUUUGUUGGGGUGAUGGGAGGAAUUUAUUUAACUCCUCUUUUUGUGUAGUAUAUUGAUAUAUAUGUAUAUUGAUCCAUUUAUUUUGAUUGUAAGAUUAAAUUACCUUAGGGAUAACAGCGUAAA